GACAGAGGAUGCAAGCGUUAUCCGGAAUGAUUGGGCGUAAAGCGUCUGUAGGUGGCUUUUCAAGUCCGCCGUCAAAUCCCAGGGCUCAACCCUGGACAGGCGGUGGAAACUACCAAGCUGGAGUACGGUAGGGGCAGAGGGAAUUUCCGGUGGAGCGGUGAAAUGCGCAGAUAUCAGGAGGAACACCGGUGGCGAAGGCGGGUCUCUGGGCCGUAACUGACGCUGAGGAGCGAAAGCGUGGGGAGCGAACAGG
rnacentral:rRNA from 1 species